UACAGAGGGGGCCAGCGUUAUUCGGAAUUAUUGGGCGUAAAGGGCGCGUAGGCGGCUUUGCGUGUCUUUCGUGAAAUCCCUCGGCUCAACUGAGGACGUGCGGAAGAAACUGCAGGGCUGGAGUCCGGGAGAGGAGGGUGGAAUUCCCAGUGUAGCGGUGAAAUGCGUAGAUAUCAGGAGGAACACCGGUGGUGUAGACGGCUUUCUGGACCGUAGCUGACGCUGAGACACGAAAGCGUGGGUAGCAAACAGG
rnacentral:rRNA from 1 species